rnacentral:lncRNA from 1 species
UUUAAUUAAAGGUACUGCCUUCGGGCAGGUGUUGCUUUAUCAUUUUAUGGUUUUUCCAUAGUUUUCCAGAAUAAACUAUGGUGGCGACUCCAAAACAUUUUUCAAAACUUGUUUUAUUUUUGGAUCGUCGUUCCGUUGCGACACCGGUUGUGACAGCAGGGGACAUAACGAAAAUUUCAUCCUCAACCACAUUCCCGUCCUCUCCCAAUUUUCUCAUUUCCAUCAGACCCACCUUUCACCUUUGACCAUUCACCAUGGCCUCCAACACCCACCAUCUUCAUCAGAGGCUUCAAUAAUCUUAGGGCAACACCUUCGUUCCUCUCACACAACCACAAUCAUCAUCACCCUUCAUAAUUCUUCACCAAACCAGAUUCAACCCCAAGACUCACCUCCCAUCACGUUUUCAUCGAAAACCACCUAUUCAAACUCACCUUCGUCAACUCCCUCUCCUUCAUCUUCAGAAAUUCAACCCAAACAUGAUAAUCGUCCUCGUGCUGAG